rnacentral:miRNA from 1 species
GAAAACUUUCUGUGUGCAUAUGCAUGUGUGUUUAUAUACAUAUAUGCACACACACAUAAGUGCACAUGCAUCAGAAUAUAC